GCAAGUUGCCUAGUCUCACAGCUGGUCAGUGGCGGAGCGCAGACUGGAGCCAGGUGGUGUAAGGCCAGAAUCUCCUCUGUCCUGACUUCCCAGGUUUGUCCUUCCCUGAUUUUCUUGUCUUUCUUCACUUUCAUCCCUUCUUGGCUUUAAGAAGAUGCCCUGAAAUAUGGCUUUUCAUCCUAGACAUCCCUCUGGACAGAGAAGCAAAUCUGUGCUCAUAUAGGCAAAGCUGAACCACACAGGACUCACCUUUGGCAUUUUGGCUGGAUCAUAACACGGCUCUGAACUAACUCAUCAUUUGUACAUUUCCUUUGCUCAUCAACGCUGCUGGGGAGUGGAAAUUCUCUAAGCAUCGCCCAGCUGCGUGCUGACUCAGAGAAAUUGAAACUGAGAAGUUGAUGAAAUGUGUCCCAGAUUAAAACACACUUUGCAAUGUUUUAUCAUGAACGUCUUCAAUCAUCCAGGAGAACCUAGAUUCCAUAGUCAACGUGCUCCUGUGCUCGCUCUGCCACCUAUCUCUCUCUCUAUGGCAACCCUCUACCCAGCCAUUGAUCCAUCUUGGGUUUUAUGCGUUUCACAGUGUUUCAGUUCCUCUGACCUCGGUUCCCCUGGGCUGGGCCACGUGCCCCUCCUCUCUGCUCCUGUGGUGGCCGUGACACAGACUGCAGCACUGACAUGGGGUUAAGCACAGAGCGCUGGGAUGACUUUUUCACCUGUUCUCCCCACGAGCCUGUCAACACUGCGAGGGCAAGUCGUGACCACCCUGUUCCCCACCACUCUGCUAGAGAAACCUCGAGUCGCUCAUGGAAUCUUUGCUAAAAGAAAUACCAGAGGAAAGGAGGGAGAAGAGGGUGUGAGCAAUAAAAC
rnacentral:lncRNA from 1 species